GACAGUGUCAUUUUGAAGCCAGUAUCCCAGACACAAGGAGCGAGAACGGUGACUUGUGGAAUAAGAAAGUGGGUGGCAAAUAGCAACAGAAAAAGUCGUGGACAUCGUAAUUAUAUCAUGACCACCAGAGCAGGGUAAACAGGAGCAGUAUUUCAGACAACUCGAGUUGCAGUAGCACAGUUGACGCUGAGGUCUCUUGGAAGUUUGGGAGCACCCAAGUUUGCUGUGGCUUGGCUAGCACACCCCACUUUGGCACUUCUUUACCUGCUCCACAGCCCACCACCGCUGAGACAAAAAAACAUGGUGUCCUGGAUCAUUUCAAGAAGCGUCGUACUCUUGUUUGGGACCCUGUAUCCUGCAUACUACUCCUACAAAGCUGUCAAGACAAAAAAUGUCAAAGAAUAUGUCCGGUGGAUGAUGUACUGGAUUGUUUUUGCCCUCUACACUGUGGUGGAGACCAUCACUGACCUUACACUUGCAUGGUUUCCCUUGUACUAUGAACUGAAGGUAGCAUUUGUAAUCUGGCUCCUAUCCCCUUACACCAGAGGAGCAAGUCUCAUUUACAGGAAAUGUCUGCACCCACUGCUGUCUUCCAGAGAAAGGGAAAUAGAUGAGUAUAUUGUGCAGGCCAAGGAAAAAAGUUAUGAGACCAUGGUGAACUUCGGCAAGCAGGGCCUGAGCAUUGCAGCCACUGCUGCUGUCACUGCAGCAGUCAAGGGUCAAGGAGCUAUCACAGAAAAGCUGCGCAGCUUGAGUAUGCAUGAUCUCACACAGAUCAGUCAGCAAGACGAAAGAGGUGACAACCAACUGUAUCGAUACUCCCAUGCUGCUAAUCCAUCCGUGAAACGAUCGCAGAGUGCUGAUGUACCUGAUGAAGCAGAAUACAUUUAUGACCAGAACGACAGGAGCGAUGACGAGACUGAGCCAACAUUUUCUGAAGACGAGGCUGUUUCUCAGAAAGGACUGAGGCGGUCUCAGAGUGUGAAGCUGAUGCGUUCCAGAGUCCGUAAAGAUGCUCGGUAUGGCUCACUGAAGAUGAAAGGGAAGAAGAGACCAUCGCUGACCUCCAUAAAUUAUGGAAUGUGAAGAGACUUCUUCUGACACACAAAUACCCACACACUCCCACAUACACUGCUGAGUCACCAAAGAUAGUCUGAAAUCUGACUUGAAUACUUUUUCAUCCAUCCAUCCAUUUUCUUUGCCGCUUAUCCUCAUGAGGGUCGCGAGGAGUGCUGGGGCCUAUCCCAGCUGUCAAUGGGCAGGAGGCAGGGUACACCCUGAACUGGUUGCCAGCCAGUCGCAGGGCACAUAGAGACGAAGAGCCACACUCACAAUCACACCUAGGGGCAAUUUCUAGUGUCCAAUUAAUGUUGCAUGUUUUGGGGAUGUGGGAGGAAACUGGAGUGCCCGAAGAAAACCCACGCAGACACGGGGAGAACAUGCAAACUUUGUGAGAUUGUGAGUGCGACUGUUGUCUGUCUUCAUGUGCCCUGCAAUUAACGGCAACCAGUUCAGGGUGUACCUUCCCAUAUGCCCGAUGACAGAUGGGAUUGGUUCCAGCACUCUCACGACCCUCGUGAGGAUUAGCGUCUCAUAAAAUGGAUGGAUGGAGUUUUAGAGCUUACAGGUGUGUAAAAACUUUAAAAUUGAUCUUUUUCUUUCUUUUUUUUUUUUUUUACAUCACAAAAAAUGGCACGUGAACAUUGAGCGAGUAGACAUAUCUACUCUAUUCCCGUGUGUUUGUAUUUUAGAUCCAUCUGUCUGAGUUUAUUUCAUAAAAGUAUUUUUUUCAUAUUUAUCUCAGUAAAGUGGGUAGCUAGAUUAUCAACAUGUUAUGGAUGAACGAUGAAAAUGUAAUUCGUUUCGAGGUUUCAGAAUUCCUUUAUUUUAAGAUCCAUCCAUUUUCUUAACCACUUAUCUUCGCAAGGGUCGUGGGGAGUUCUGGAGCCUAUCCUAGCUGUCAACAGGGCUGUCGGAGGAAACUGGAGUGCCCGGAGAAAACCCACGGAGGCAGGGGGAGAACAUGUAAACUCCACACAGGCAGGUCCGGGAUUGAACCCAGGACCUCAGAACUGUGAGGCCAACGCUUUUCCAUCUGAC